GAUGAACGCUAGCGGCAGGCCUAACACAUGCAAGUCGAGGGAGAGGUUACCUUCGGGUAACCAAAACCGGCGCACGGGUGCGUAACGCGUAUACAAUCUGCCUUUCACAUAGGGAUAGCCCGAAGAAAUUUGGAUUAAUACCUAAUGGUAUAUAAGAGCGGCAUCGUUUUUAUAUUAAAGCUACGGUGGUGAAAGAUGAGUAUGCGUUCUAUUAGCUAGUUGGAGAGGUAACGGCUCCCCAAGGCGACGAUAGAUAGGGGUUCUGAGAGGGAUGUCCCCCACACUGGUACUGAGAUACGGACCAGACUCCUACGGGAGGCAGCAGUGAGGAAUAUUGGACAAUGGUCGGAAGACUGAUCCAGCCAUGCCGCGUGCAGGAUGAAGGUCCUAUGGAUUGUAAACUGCUUUUGUAAGGGAAGAAUAAGGAGUACGUGUACUUUGAUGACGGUACCUUACGAAUAAGCAUCGGCUAACUCCGUGCCAGCAGCCGCGGUAAUACGGAGGAUGCGAGCGUUAUCCGGAAUCAUUGGGUUUAAAGGGUCCGUAGGCGGGCUGAUAAGUCAGAGGUGAAAGCGCUUAGCUCAACUAAGCAACUGCCUUUGAAACUGUCAGUCUUGAAUGAUUGUGAAGUAGUUGGAAUGUGUAGUGUAGCGGUGAAAUGCUUAGAUAUUACACAGAACACCGAUAGCGAAGGCAUAUUACUAACAAUUUAUUGACGCUGAUGGACGAAAGUGCGGGUAGCGAACAGG
rnacentral:rRNA from 1 species